AUGACAGUGUGCAAAGAAGGAGUUUGUCAGCCUCGAGAGAAUAAGAGAGCAGGUCCUGCACCCCUCCGAAAAUGGCAUGUGGAAGUGGUUUCGAAAGCGCCGCCUUUGGUCUCCUUUCUGCAGGAUCCCUGCUCCCCACAAAUCAUACUGUGGAUCCAAAGCAGGCUCCUUAAUACUUGCGUGAAACGAGGGCGAAGACUAGACCCGUUGUCCCCAUGUUGGGAAAGAGCACCCUUCCCUUCCCCAGCAGGGUUGCCCGGUGCAGCUAGCGUCGUGUGGCCACCAGCUACCCAUGAAUCACAGCUGAAAAACUGCUUUGCCUGAGCCGUAAUAAUCUGAGACAGCAAAGGGAGAAGUGAUUUCAAUCAUGAUGCAAUCAGUUAAAGACGACUUCAAAUGCAACGUUGGGGAGUUUUCCUUUGGGGAAAAAUGCUCUUGUUGAUUUUUGAGUAAACAAAUUAACAAGUUGGCUUUGUUUAAAAAAUAAAAGGGAUCUGCUGGACCA
rnacentral:lncRNA from 1 species